GGCGCGGCGUUCUCCCAGGGCGGUGGCAGCUUGUCGCUCUUGCAUUCGCAGUCGCAGAUCUCCCAGGCCUCCCUCGACGAGAAUCUCCUAAGCCCUCGUCAUCCCUCCCCCGCGCGCGAUCAGUGAACUCGCUUGUGCUUGGUUGAUGCGUGGAAGAAAUAGUUCAAAUCUCUGCAGUCGACAUUUCAUUGGGCAAAUUUGUGCGGUCAGGGGGUUGGCCAGAUAUGGGAAGUUCGUCAGUCCAUGGAAGAUACACACAUACACAUGUGUGUGUUGCUGGUCUAGCUAAAAGCAUCGGCUAUCCAACCGAGGAUAAGGAGGCUGCUUCCUUUCAAGGGGUAGAUAGUCAGUUUGCUGAUAAAUGCUCUCACCACAGAGCUCUGUCAUCUGGCACAGCGGCGCUUACAGAAAUGAUUUUUGGAAGGUGUUUCUCUGGCACAUAUAAUUUUGGUUCACCCUUCUAAGUAACAUCUUUGACUGACCUGGUAAUUAAUAACAUAAGCUAUGCCUGUAAUACACUUUGUUUUCAUAGAGAGUUCAUUUGUUCACCAUCUAUUGAAUGGAUUGGAACACAAGACAUUAUCUGUGGACAUACAAUGGAAAUCCAUGGUAAACUGGCACCAUGAUAUUUAUAUUGUUUCUGUGUUGCAUAGAUCAGCUUACUUGGCUGACUCAAAUGACAAGUAAUGACAAGUGUUCCAUUCACUUCAUAUAGUGUUUACUUGGCUAAAACAUGCUUUUUUUUUGUAGUAAAAUUUCCAUCUCCGUUUUGCUGACUCAAAUUACUACUUCUUUCAAUGUACCAUGCUGAAUACUGAAGGCGAUGUUGAUCAUUGAUGCUGUACAGGAGCAUAUUCUUCUAGCUAGACAGGUUUGAAAUUCUGAGAGCUUUCCCUGCAAUGUCUUUUUAGCUGCUGUUUUUGCGCUUCUGAGAAGACGGAUAUUUCAUUCAUGUUUUUUAGGUUGGUGUGCCAUCACUUGUUUGCUUCCUUAAAUUCCUGUGGUUUGCAGCUUUUUUACACUCACUGAACUGUAUGGUAAUUUAGGACAACCAUCUACCAAUGCAGAGUGAAUAGCAAUCACCAGCUGAACGUGCAUUUGAUAUCUUUUACUUCGGUUUCAUAUGACAGAAUAUUGUAGAAUCACAAUUAGCUUAUCCUGUUUUAGGUCUGCUGGUUUAACCAUCAUUUUAUUAUAGAUCUGUAGACUAUAGACUGAAACCUGGUUAGCUUACUCUGUUGCUUUGAGCGUAAUGUGUGGGCGAUGCAUGGACCAUGGUGCACCUCUUCUCAAUUGUUCGUUAGACCCAGUGGCAGAGCUACAAACAAAUACCUGGGCGGGCCUAAUUAAAGAAGAGAAAAGAAAUCACGCUCUAGCUUAUAAUUUGGGAAAGAAAAAGUAUAAACAUGCUAGUGUGUUGUCUUUUCUGCAAUCGAAGGGAACUGCUCCAUUAAUGUUGUGCUCUCUAGCUGGUACUUGCAUCAUGAUCAUUCAGAGAUCUUACCAGCUUACGUUAAAUCCAUCCUUACCAGCUUACGUUAAAUCCAUCCUUGCAUCAUGCAUGCGGACAGUUGUAGUACCAGUUAGUAGUUUUUUACUUCCACUAAAUAUUCCUGAGCCUAUAGAGGACGUGCAGUGAAGUUGCUCCAAGCUAGCAUGGUGGUGACGUUAAGAGCUAAUUUUACCGGGUGUUGAAGUCUUAGUCCAAUGCAGCCAAAAAAGUCAAACCUCCUCUGGUUUGAUGGGAUUUACUUAUGACGGAAACCAUAGCUGGUGAGGGCCGCCAGCUGUUGCCUUCUUGAGGCUAGCAAGACUGCCCCUGAGAGGAGACAGCCGGUACCGCAAAUAGCACCUGGAUGCAGCUUGCUUGGAUCUGGAGUUGCCUUGGGUCUCAGUGUUGCCAUUGCCAUGGCCCUCGGUUUCUGAUUUCAGUACCUGCGCUAUUCCCGCCUGACGACUUUGAUGGUUUCUUGAGAUUGUUCUUAUUAUUUCAGGCGCAAUAAGCCAGAAGGGAUGUGUUGUGAACUCGUGAUAAGGCUUGUGCUGCUACUCCGUUUUUCUGGUACACUGCUGAAGACUGGGAUCAACUGAAGGUGAUGAUGUCACAUUGUGAUGGUGUUCGAAUUGGAAACAUGGUGAUGAUGUUCACAGAGUACAUAUUGAGAUACUGUGCUGAACAUCCACUACAUACUAUGUUGACACUGUGUUUACAUUGUGUAACUGAUAUUGGGUGAUAAUUACGGAAUAAAGUGCACUGGAUUAAUGUGUUGGCACUGUGUGCUUAUUCUUGUAUGACAGUACAUAUGUUCAUAUUGUGUGCUUCUUGUA